GGCAAGUGGGAUUAUGUCAAGAACUGAACCAAAUCUCCUCCUGUGACCAAAAGCAAUAAUGCCCUUUAUCAGACAACAAAACUGGUAUGCACUAGUUUAUGGCCAGCAACAAUUAUGGUUUUCCCAUCAAGAUCAGCAGCUUCACAGCAGAAAUCAUAGAGGUCAUCAAAGAACUGGGCUUCAUCAACGCCGAUCACAUCCACCUAUCACAGAAAGGAACUGAUUAUGGGGCAGGAAAUAUGCUAUAAAGCCCAGAAUCCGUAGAUUGCACAAGAGAGCAGCAGGGUAUAAAUUCACAUGAUCCAAUACAGAAUUGCAGUUAAUUCUUGAAGAAAACAAAAAAGGUGAAAGGGAACACAAAAAUCACCUUUUCAUAGGCAUCGGAUCCGAAUCUAUCCUUGAAAGACGUUAAAUCAGGCAACGCCAUACAUGGGAAUUUGGUGCCGUCGUGCGUGACCACUGCAUCGAUUGCAUAUCUUGUAUCUAUGCUCGACUUUAUCACCACAACGCUUCUGCUUCCAAUUUCAAGUUUCAAUACAACACACAAUUACAGGAACAGAAUAUUAACUUUUAGUAACUGUUUGAUGUGGAAAUUGAUG